rnacentral:rRNA from 1 species
CCCUUAGAUGUUCUGGGCCGCACGCGCGCUACACUGACGAAUGCAACGAGCUUAUAACCUUGGCCGAAAGGUCUGGGUAAUCUCCAAAUUUCGUCGUGAUGGGGAUAGAUUAUUGCAAUUAUUAAUCUUCAACGAGGAAUGCCUAGUAAGCGCAAGUCAUCAGCUUGCGUUGAUUACGUCCCUGCCCUUUGUACGCACCGCCCGUCGCUCCUACCGAUUGAAUGGUCCGGUGAAGCGUUCGGACCGUGGCCUUUGGACGGUUCGCCGUCUGUUGGCUGCGGGAAGUUCGUUAAACCUUAUCAUUUAGAGGAAGGAGAANUCGUAACA